rnacentral:tRNA from 1 species
GUAAAUAUAGUUUACCCAAAACACUAGACUGUGACUCUAGAAACAGAAGUCCCAUCUUCUUAUUUACC